AACGGUUAAAACCGUUAUAAAAAGUGCAAAAAACUGUUAACUAUGAUUAAAAAAAAUAAAAAAAAUUCUAAUACAUAACGGAAAAAUCUUAAUACAUAACGGUGAAAAACCGUUAUGUAUAACCUUUAUAGAUAAUGGAUGCGUACUGUUAUGUAUGACACAUCGUACCGUUAUCUAUGCUACUAUACAUAACGGUUUUAAACCGUUGUCUAUGAUACGUAUCAUAGAUAACACCACUAUACACAACG
rnacentral:lncRNA from 1 species